UUGAGGAAUGGUCAUCAUGUCCUUUUCAUAAAUUUUGGUAUACGCGUGUGCGCGCGCGCACACACACACACACACAACUUUAGUUGUUGGUCUUAAAAGUUUUAUCUUACAGAUGAGAAAACUGAGGCCCCGGAGGAGGAAAUGCUUGCCUAGAAUCAGCCUCUUAGUCACCAGACUAGUGCUAUGUCUGAAUUGUUUCCCUCGCGACCCCUCCAUCUGUAUUUUCUCUGUCCUCUGUAAAUCUUAGCAACAUUCUUGAUUUCUCUCUCUCCCUCACCCCCAAGCUCAAUCCAACAGCAGGUCCUGCCAGUCGGACCGUCUUACGAUGUCCUGAGUCUACCCAUUUCUCCUCGUUGCCACCGCCUGCGUGUCGGUUCCCCAGCAGCCCUCCACUGAUGGGCACUCGUGUGGAUAAACGUGAAGACACUCGGAGACUAUGAAGCGUGGUCCGCAUCUGCAUGUGUAGUUUGUUUUAGGUAGACUUCACGCCCAGCACGAAACCCAAUGAGGGGCUUGAACUCAUGACCCCGAGAUCAAGACCUGAGCUGAGAUCAAGAGGAGUAGACGCUUAACCGACUAAGCCACCUGGGUACCCCUGCAAAGAAGAUUUUAACUAGAAUGGUCAAUUCGCUAUCAAAGCUGAAGAACUGGCCUUAGGAUCCAUGGACAUUUCUCAUGCUCUCUCGCUGCUUCCUGUCUGGUGGGGUAAACACCAGUCUCCAGUCUCUGCCCCAGACUCUCCGGGUGCAAAGAGAGAACGGCAACCAUGGAGCAGAGAAGGUGGGCUGGUCUCCUGACUCUGUUUCUGCUUCCUAGAGCCUCGCCGCUCUGGGCUCCCUGAACCUCGCCUGUAAAAUAGCACCGUCUUGGGGAAGAUUGACAUGAAGCGCUCGCCCACCCAUAAAGUGUUCGUUGGAACUCCUACUUCCAGCUAUACAUGAUGCUUUUUGCUUCAAUGCCAAAUACAUCCUCCCAAGAAGGGGUCUCAAAUCUGUGAAUAUUUUGAAAUGCGUAUGUACUGAGCAGGAGCACCAAAUAUUUGAGCAUCUGAAUGCCCCACCUGGAGAAUUUCAGAGCCAAGCCACCACCUGUCGUCAUUUUCUAUUCACCACCCUAAGUGUUCAUGUUCCUCCGAUUUCCUAACGGCUCAUUUUCCUCAUCUGUCAAGUCAAAUGAAGGUUAUGGAAUAGAUGAUCUCUAAAAACCCCUUCCAGCUCUACAGUUCUAUUCUGGGUCUGUCUGCACCUGCAGACAGUGACGUGGGGGGAGGAAGGGCACCGGAGGGUGGAGGCAAAUGUAGUCAUGAGAAUAAACCACAUUUACCUGGA